rnacentral:tRNA from 1 species
AGGGCCCUAGUAAAAGGACAUUACACUGCCUUGUCAAGACAGUAGUGCGGGUUAGAGGCCCGCGGGCCCUG